rnacentral:tRNA from 1 species
GUCCUUAUGGCUUAAACAUCAAAGCAUGGCACUGAAGAUGCCAAGAUGGUACCCGCCCUACCUAAGGACA